GGAAAAAAUGACUCUCCGGGACCACAAGUAGGGACUGCUGUAGAUGACUUGAGCUAGUGGUGUGGUCCAGCUCCAGACUCAUGCCAUAGGGUGAGCCCAAAAGCCAGCUGCUGCAGAACCAGGCAACAAGCCCCAGGCAGCUCCUCCCCUCAGCACAAGACCCCCAUUUUGAAACCAUUACUUCCCCAGCCACACCCCAUCCAUGAGGGUGUCAUACAGUGGCCGUCAGUGAGAGGAGAGACGAAAUCCUUCAGGGCUCUGAGGAAGCCACGUGACACCUGGCAUUGUCUCCCUCACCUUAGCCUUGUGCACACCCCAGGCUCCGGAGCAGCCCUCAAGCCCAAUGCCGUCCCUACCAGAUGACAGACACAUGCGCCUGUGUCCCCGGCCCCCAGACAGAGUGCCAUAUGAGUGCCUGCUGUACAGAGUCGGCUCCCUUUAUCUCUGGCUGAAGUCCUGAGGGAGGAGAGGGAGGAAUAUCACCUGUUACCACCAGCUGAUGAGUCACCUCCUGCUGCUGGGACCACAGCCUGCCUGACCACUGCCUCUGAGCGCCCCACGGAGGGUUGGGGAGGAGGAGGCUCUUGAUACGAAGAUGGACUGUGACAUCCAUCAUUCCCCGGAUGCACCCUGGCCACGGGGGGUUGAGGACAAGACCCUGAGGUCAGAGUCUGGCUCUCAUACUCUCACCUGGCAACCUGGGUAGCUGUGUCCCCUUCCUCAUGCCCAAUCACACAUCCAUACACGCGUUGCUCCUGGUGAUCAGGUACAGGUCCUGAUCAGGUACAGGCUGUGAGGGCCACAAGGGGUACCUGAAGCCAUCCUGCCCUAGGGAGGUGGCAGGGGGCCAUGCUGAGAGCUGGAGUGGAUAAGAAGCCGCCUGCCCACACCUGUGAAUUGGCUUGAGGCGAUGGGGUGAUGUGGAACAGCGCCCAUGAGGAGCACCUUAGCAAUAUAAAGGGGCCUCUGGGAAGCCCCUGGCUGCAGUUGCAAUGGGCAAAGACCAGCAAGGGUGAUGGUUAUUUCUGGGAAGGGUCUGGAGAGGCCCCAGCAUGUACAUAGGUCCUGAGGCUGCACGAAGCUCAGCAGCCCUGGCAGGUGACAAAGUACAAUAAACAUCAGCUGGUCACCUGGCCUCGUGAUCAUC